UGUAUAUUUGUUUUAUGCUUACAGAUAUGUUUUUCUUGACAGAGGCUCUGCAGAGGUUAGACAAAGCAGAGAAAACAUGUGCUUUACAUUUUACUGUGAUUUAUUGAGAUAUUUGUUGCCUGAUGUUCAGCAGGAAUGGAGAAAUAGAAUCAAAGGGAGAUGUUUUUGCUGUUUUUGUAAUGAUGUAAGUAAAUCUUCAAUAUUAUUUAUUUGCUUGGUUAUAUUAGGAGUGUUUCUGAGUGAGGGGGGAGGAGUCAUCAUCCAGGUAAAGUGACGUGGAUCAGUGGAUACACUUGUCUCCCCUUUAAAGGAGACGAUCCAAGUCAUCCUUAAAUAUGGGCAGCAUAUCAGUCUUGGACUGUCUAACCUGCAGCACUGAAUGACCACCACACAUGAGCAUGUUCCUGCAACAUUCAGCAUCUGAUCCUUCAUCUGUGUGCUUCUGCUUUUGUGUCACAUGUCAAACAGCUGGAGAGGAAACUACACCAGUGUACUGGGAUGUUUCAGCAACACGUGCCAGAUGCUGUUCCUUCAUGGUGACAUCACCAGAGACAGCCCCGCCCACCUCAGGACCUCGCCAUUGAUCAUGAUGAUUAUAAUGAUGACAGCGAGCGGAACUAAGACUGUAAAAAUCCAUGACCAGAAUGUUUAGAUGCUUUCUAAUUAUUAA